UACGGAGAGUGCAAACGUUGUUCGGAUUCACUGGGCGUAAAGGGCACGUAGGCGGCUCGGCAAAUCGGUCGUGGAAUCCCGACGCUUACCGUCGGAACGGCGGCCGAAAAUACCGGGCUAGAGGGCGUGAGGGGUCACUGGGACUCCUGGUGAAGCGGUGAAAUGCGUAGAUAUCAGGAGGAACGCCGGAGGCGAAAGCGAGUGACUGGCGCGUUCCUGACGCUGAGGUGCGAAAGCUAGGGGAGCAAACAGG
rnacentral:rRNA from 1 species